GCGGGCCCCUACUAAUGUAUUGUAUAGUAGGGUAUAGUAGGCGAGCGAGUUAGCGAAGACGCUUAGGCUAAUAGAUAAGAGAGCGUCGGUGCGUAGCCUUCAUUCUACUACGCUACGAAAGAAAAGGUUACGAAGUCACUUAGCUCGACGUUAGGAGAGUCAAGGGGGGAACACCAUACCUACAUAGAAGAACCGCUGUUCGCUGACUUUCUAAGGUCUAAACCUUUCGCUCCCCGGCGCAAAGCCGCUUCGCACCACUGAGAGACUACUUAAGAUUAAAUUAAAAAGGCGCCCUACUUAGUUGACUGACAAUGACAAAGGCUUGCGAAACUAAGUAGGGCCUGAGGCCCCCUGCGAAUCCGUAAAUAUGAGGAGCAUGCCGCAACAAAAGGAUGGUCCCCUAUGUAUUUCAUUCUUUCCGGAAGGGAAAAAAAAGAAGUACCCCCAUCAUGGUGAACCUCUCCUUGUGAUCGGGAUGAGGUAGAUGCCUCCCAGCCGGGGGGGCGGAUCGAAUCGGAGUUUCCUUAGGUAGCCACCGACCUACAGUUAUCCUUAAACUUCCGUGCUUGGUGGAGAAGAAGCGAACAAAGGUACGCUCGCUUGCUGUCUUGUUCUCUGCCGCGAACUGGGAUCGCUCGCCAGCUAGGUCAGAUUGGAGCUACUUUUUUUUUGAGAACAUAUUACCCAUAUUCGGGGACAAGGGGCGGAACGACCUCUCGAUCUACUUACUGCAGCCCGGGAAUAAAAACGUCGUCUAGGCGUUCCCUGUUGCUCCGAUCUCCCCUACGCCUAGGACGUUGUCUGGGCCAAGAGCCAUAGUUAG
rnacentral:lncRNA from 1 species